rnacentral:rRNA from 1 species
CCCUUAGAUGUUCUGGGCCGCACGCGCGCUACACUGACUACUUCAACGAGUUGUUUCCUUGAUCGAAAGGUCUGGGUAAUCUUUGAAAGGUAGUCGUGAUGGGGGUAGAUCCUUGCAAUUUUUGAUCUUCAACGAGGAAUUCCUAGUAAACGCAAGUCAUCAGCUUGCAUUGAUUACGUCCCUGCCCUUUGUACACACCGCCCGUCGCACCUACCGAUUGAAUGGUCCGGUGAAUCUUUAGGACUGUGGCUGAGGCCUUGCCUUGUGCGGGUCUGGCCGUGGGAAUUUAGUUAAACCUUACCAUUUAGAGGAAGGUGAAGUCGUAACA